rnacentral:rRNA from 1 species
UACGUAGGGGGCGAGCGUUGUCCGGAUUUAUUGGGCGUAAAAGGCUUGUAGGCGGCCACCGCGCGUCGGCUGUGAAAUCCCUCGGCUCAACCGGGGAACUGCGUCCGAUACUGGUGGGCUUGAAUCCGGGAGAGGGAUGUGGAAUUCCAGGUGUAGCGGUGAAAUGCGUAGAUAUCUGGAGGAACACCGGUGGCGAAGGCGGCAUCCUGGACCGACACUGACGCUGAGGAGCGAAAGCCAGGGGAGCAAACGGG